rnacentral:rRNA from 1 species
GACGAACGCUGGCGGCGUGCUUAACACAUGCAAGUCGAACGGAAAGGCCCUGCUAUUGUGGGGUGCUCGAGUGGCGAACGGGUGAGUAACACGUGAGUAACCUGCCCUUGACUUUGGGAGAACUUCAGGAAACUGGGGCUAAUACCGGAUAGGAGCUCCUGCUGCAUGGUGGGGGUUGGAAAGUUUUGGCGGUUGGGGAUGGACUCGCGGCUUAUCAGCUUGUUGGUGGGGUAGUGGCUUACCAAGGCUUUGACGGGUAGCAGGCGUGAGAGGGUGGCCGGCCACAUUGCGACUGAGAUACGGCCCAGACUCCUACGGGAGGCAGAAGUGGGGAAUCUUGAACAAUGGGAGGAAGCCUGAUGCAGCAACGCCGCGUGCGGGAUGCCGGCCUUCGGGUUGUACACCGCUUUCGCCUGUGACGAAGCGUGAGUGACGGUAAUGGGUAAAGAAGCACCGGCUAACUACGUG